rnacentral:rRNA from 1 species
AGCCAGACUCCUACGGGAGGCAGCAGUGGGGAAUAUUGCACAAUGGGGGAAACCCUGAUGCAGCGACGCCGCGUGAGUGAAGAAGUAUUUCGGUAUGUAAAGCUCUAUCAGCAGGGAAGAAAAUGACGGUACCUGACUAAGAAGCCCCGGCUAACUACGUGCCAGCAGCCGCGGUAAUACGUAGGGGGCAAGCGUUAUCCGGAUUUACUGGGUGUAAAGGGAGCGUAGACGGUGAUGCAAGUCAGAAGUGAAAGCCCGGGGCUCAACUCCGGGACUGCUUUUGAAACUGUGUAACUGGAGUGCAGGAGAGGUAAGCGGAAUUCCUGGUGUAGCGGUGAAAUGCGUAGAUAUCAGGAGGAACACCAGUGGCGAAGGCGGCUUACUGGACUGUAACUGACGUUGAGGCUCGAAAGCGUGGGGAGCAAACAGGAUUAGAUACCCUGGUAU